AUGGGCUCCCAGGCUCAGCUCCUCAGCUUCCUGCUCCUCUGGAUUUUUGAUACCAGGGCAGAAAUAACAGUCACACAGUCUCCGGAAUCCAUGUUAGUGAUUCCAGGAGACAAAGUCAUCAUCACCUGCAAAGCCAGCCAAGACAUUGGUGAUGAUGUGAACUGGUAUCAACGGAAACCAGGAGAAGCUCCUAAGCUCAUUAUUAAAGAAGCUACUACUCUCUGGUCUGGGGUUCCCUCUCGGUUCAGUGGCACUGUGCAUGGAGUAGAUUUUACCCUGACAAUUGAUGACGUAAAAUCUGAGGAUGCUGCAUAUUAUUUCUGUCUACAACAUGAUCGUAUACCUCUCACAGUGAUACAGCCUGUUACAAAAACCUCCAAAUGCCCUCAGUGGGGUUGCCUCAGCUGCUACUGA